UUUAUAAGAAAAUUGUGCAUGGCUUCAAUGGAAGUCAAAAUGUAUAUAAAUUGUAAUCCUAAUUCUUAUUCUGAAAGGAUAAUGCAGGCACAUGUUUUCUCUAGGUCUUGGAAUGUUGGUUAAAUAAAGAUGGUAUUGACAUGUCUUGCAUGUUUUUCCUUUUCUCUUGGGGGCAUGGUAUUUGGUUGAGAUUCGACAUGAAAGAAACUUUUAAGUAUAUUGAAAAUUCCUUUGCUUCUUGAAAUUUCGAUUCUAGUAUCAAUUAGAAUUUUGCUUGAACAUCUUAUUUUUGGCAG
rnacentral:misc_RNA from 1 species